rnacentral:rRNA from 2 species
GAACUUCUGGUAUUGAUUGGUGCUUGCAUUCAUGAUUUACAUUUUGAGUGAGUGGCGAACUUGGUGAGUAACACGUGGGAAACCUGCCCAGAAGCGGGGGAUAACACCUGGAAACAGAUGCUAAUACCGCAUAACAACUUGGACCGCAUGGUCCGAGUUUGAAAGAUGGCUUCGGCUAUCACUUUUGGAUGGUCCCGCGGCGUAUUAGCUAGAUGGUGGGGUAACGGCUCACCAUGGCAAUGAUACGUAGCCGACCUGAGAGGGUAAUCGGCCACAUUGGGACUGAGACACGGCCCAAACUCCUACGGGAGGCAGCAGUAGGGAAUCUUCCACAAUGGACGAAAGUCUGAUGGAGCAACGCCGCGUGAGUGAAGAAGGGUUUCGGCUCGUAAAACUCUGUUGUUAAAGAAGAACAUAUCUGAGAGUAACUGUUCAGGUAUUGACGGUAUUUAACCAGAAAGCCACGGCUAACUACGUGCCAGCAGCCGCGGUAAUACGUAGGUGGCAAGCGUUGUCCGGAUUUAUUGGGGCGUAAAGCGAGCGCAGGCGGUUUUUUAAGUCUGAUGUGAAAGCCUUCGGCUCAACCGAAGAAGUGCAUCGGAAACUGGGAAACUUGAGUGCAGAAGAGGACAGUGGAACUCCAUGUGUAGCGGUGAAAUGCGUAGAUAUAUGGAAGAACACCAGUGGCGAAAGCGGCUGUCUGGUCUGUAACUGACGCUGAGGCUCGAAAGUAUGGGUAGCAAACAGGAUUAGAUACCCUGGUAGUCCAUACCGUAACGAUGAAUGCUAAGUGUUGGAGGGUUUCCGCCCUUCAGUGCUGCAGCUA